AUGAAUGCCAGCAAUAAUUUUUUGAAAGAUGUGUUCAUGGGUGAUGCCCAGCUCCGCACAAGACUAUGUGCCAUGUGGCACUAUCCAUUCAUUGUUCAGUCUCGCUCUCUGAUAGCCACGCAACCUCCUGAAGCAAUCAUAGCCAAUCAUCCAUACAAAAAAAGUGUUCUAUGUUUUCCUGAUCAUUGGGAAGCCGUACAAGCAUUCAAAUAUGCAGGAAAAGGAGACUCUCCCUAUGUGAAUGGUGUUGCAUAUCACUUCACAAUUAAUCUUCUACAGUCAAAUCUAAUAGAGAUAUGCAAUGAUCAAAGGGUUACAGUCUUUAUGAAAGGUCUUUCUCUGUAUAAAGCAUUGCAACGAGCUCGAUGUAAAACCCAUUGUCAUUUCUUCUCUCAUCUUAAAAUAAAAAACAACAUAUAUGCACGCACAUGCUUCAGCAUGGGCACGGCGUGCAAGUCUGAAUCAUUUCAGCUAGGCUACAACUUAGACGACAGUCAACUUACCCUGUCGUGGCAUGGAGUUGCCCCGCUCCCCCAAGACCAAGACAUUUUUGCUUCUGUGACCAAGAUCGACAAUGGAUGA
rnacentral:rRNA from 1 species